AAGUUUGCAGAGAUGCGAAUGUGCCUUCGGGAACUGUGAGACAGGUGCUGCAUGGCUGUCGUCAGCUCGUGUUGUGAAAUGUUGGGUUAAGUCCCGNAACGAGCGCAACCCUUAUCCUUUGUUGCCAGCGAUUCGGUCGGGAACUCAAAGGAGACUGCCGGUGAUAAACCGGAGGAAGGUGGGGAUGACGUCAAGUCAUCAUGGCCCUUACGGCCAGGGCUACACACGUGCUACAAUGGCGCAUACAAAGAGAAGCGACCUCGCGAGAGCAAGCGGACCUCAUAAAGUGCGUCGUAGUCCGGAUCGGAGUCUGCAACUCGACUCCGUGAAGUCGGAAUCGCUAGUAAUCGUAGAUCAGAAUGCUACGGUCGAAUACGUUCCCGGGCCUUGUACACACCGCCCGUCACACCAUGGGAGUGGGUUGCAAAAGAAGUAGGUAGCUUAACCUUCGGGAGGGCGCUUACCACUUUGUGAUUCAUGACUGGGGUGAAGUCGUAACAAGGUAAGCGUAGAUGA
rnacentral:rRNA from 1 species